rnacentral:rRNA from 1 species
GACGAACGCUGGCGGCGUGCUUAACACAUGCAAGUCGGACGGAAAGGCCCUGCUUUUGUGGGGUGCUCGAGUGGCGAACGGGUGAGUAACACGUGAGUAACCUGCCCCUGACUUUGGGAUAACUUCAGGAAACUGGGGCUAAUACCGGAUAGGAGCUCCUGCUGCAUGGUGGGGGAUGGAAAGUUUCGGCGGUUGGGGAUGGACUCGCGGCUUAUCAGCUUGUUGGUGGGGUUGUGGCUUACCAAGGCUUUGACGGGUAGCCGGCCUGGGAGGGUGACCGGCCACAUUGGGCCUGAGAUACGGCCCAGACGGCAACGGGAGGCAGCAGUGGGGAAUAUUGCACAAUGGGCGGAAGCCUGAUGCAGCAACGCCGCGUGCGGGAUGACGGCCUUCGGGUUGUAAACCGCUUUCGCAUGUGACGAAGCGUGAGUGACGGUAAUGGGUAAAGAAGCACCGGCUAACUACGUG